rnacentral:lncRNA from 10 species
GAGUCUCACUCUGUCGCCCAGGCUGGAGUGCAGUGGCGCGAUCUCGGCUCACUGCAAGCUCCACCUUCCGGGUUCACAGCAUUCUCCUGCCUCAGCCUCCUGAGUAGCUGGGAAUACAGGCGCCCACCACCAUGCCUGGCUAAUUUUUUGUAUUUUUUAGUAGAGACGGGGUUUCACCGUGUUAGCCAGGAUGGUCUUGAUCUCCUGACCUCGUGAUCCGCCUGCCUUGGCCUCCCAAAGUGCUGGGAUUACAGGUGUGAGCCACCGCGCCUGGCCUCUUUCUGAUUCUUACCAUUCCCUGUGGGUGGUGGACUUGUGUGGGUGGUGGAGUUGUGUGGAUUGUGGAGGCUCAGAGCUGGCCACUGGCCCAGGAAGAAGACGGGACUCAGAGCAGAGAGGGGCGAGCUGGGUGGAAGCAAAGUCCGUCUUCCCUGCACUCCGGUCCUCCCUCCCCAGCCUCGAGGUGGGCGAGUUCCAUUCCCGCCCCCUAUCUGUGCCCGACCCGUCAGCUAACACACACGCCCAGCUUUUAAGCCUGUCGCCCAAGGGUGAAGGUGGAAAAGGGCUUCUCUCCCCUGUCCCUGGAGGGGAGGGGACUUUGGAGGGUCCAAGUGGUGUCUCC